UUUUCACCGUCUGACCCGGUGUAUGAGCCUAGGCUCUGUUUUCAUGUCGGGACGUACGUACAGUUUAUGCAGCUAUCCAAAAAGUAGUACUCGACCGGUCCUCCAUUCCCCAUCUAUUUUCCAGAUUUACUCGUGCUCUUGCCGUCGGCAGAGACUACUCAUUUUCCCCGUGCCGGCCAUCUUCCCAAGGUGCGGCUAGAGCUCCGGCGUGCCACCUCUUGCCGCAAAACUACCAGCCAACUCCACCCGGCCGUCGGGAGGCCUGCGGUAGAACCUCUACACCGCGUCGCCGACGCGCAGGUACAGUACACCGUCGUCGUGCGCUGUCGCCGUCACCACCGAGCCUUCUACACCGCGCCGCCACGCGCAGGUACAGUACGCAGGGCACAAUGGUUCUGGAAAGCUCACUCGAGAUCUCGUCGAUCGGCCUUGAGGAUUCAGGAUCCAAAGCAGACGACGAGGUGAGCGUUGGAUAUGAUGGCCACGGCAACGAUGAAUAGCACGCCAUUGCCGGCGGGGAUGGGUUGCUCCGGGCUUUGGGGUCGAGGAGGAGCAUGUGGCGGAGAGCAUGGGCGCCGGUGGCGUCGGCCUUGCAGUCGGGCUGGUUCAGCUCGAGGACAGCGACUCUUCUUCAGAUGCAGGGUACCAAGACGUCGACGAGGGCGACGACGAGGUGCUAAGCCACCGGCGUCGUUUUGGCGACGACGGCGUCCGCAACCUCAUGCAGGGACGGGGCUGCGCUCGUCUAGUUUGACUCAGCUUCGGCCGUCCCGGAAGCCGGAACAAACUAUUGUCAGUUAGUAGUUAGUCGUCAGUUAGCAUUUCAAGGUCAGAUUAACAAAUGCAGACGAUGUUUUUUAGUUCUGUUGUUCCUCUAGAUUCAGUAACUGGCUUGGACAGCAGUUUAGAGUUCAGUUGUUUGUUUUGGGAUCCAUUUAGUUCGAUGAAAACUACCAACCAAUGAUUCUUGUACUCCCUUCCUGUGUCUUGUAAGCUGUUCCAAUGUCAUGUGAAUGAGUUUUAUCAAUGAAAAUGGUGUGUGUUGGGCA